rnacentral:rRNA from 1 species
GGACUACAAGGGUUUCUAAUCCUGUUUGAUCCCCACGCUGUCGCGCCUGAGCGUCAGUAAUGAGCCAGUGAGCCGCCUUCGCCACCGGUGUUCUUCCCAAUAUCUACGAAUUUCACCUCUACACUGGGAAUUCCACUCACCUCUCUCAUACUCAAGUCCAACAGUUUCAAUGGCAGUUCCGGAGUUGAGCUCCGGGCUUUCACCACUGACUUGGAAGACCGCCUGCGCGCGCUUUACGCCCAGUAAUUCCGAACAACGCUAGCCCCCUUCGUAUUACCGCGGCUGCUGGCAC